CAGACGUAACCAGCUGCAGAUGGUUCCACUACUUCAAAGCUCUUGAGAAACCUCCAGCCCCAGAGAUGCUGAGAGAACCGGGUUGCCAGCUGAUGACCAAAUCUGCACCCCCAAACCCAGGAUGCCUCUCUUCUUAGUUCGUGUGCUUUAUUUUCAGAGCCAACCGCUAUCACUUUCCACCCGGAACACACAUGCCCGUCAUACCAAACCACAGUUUUAUAUCAGCACCUACGGCCGUGGCUCUCAGUCCCGGCUACACGCCGCAGUCACCUGAGGAAAUUCAGAGAAAAGUCCUGCCAUUCUGACCUCCACCUGCGGCAAUGAGGACUAAGUGGCCAGGACGCUAUAGAUGCAAAAUGACCAGCUGCCUCAGGCUCCCACCACCAGGCCUUUCAGACCUUCUGGGCCACGACAGACUGAACCCUCCACCCAUGAAGCAGAACAGACCCUGCUUUCCUUGCAUUGCUUCUUGCCAAGCAUCUCAUCUCAGCAACAAGACAGUAAUUAAUACAGCAUCCAAGGCAAAAAAUAAAAAUCAAACAAAAACUUCCAAUGGUCCAAACUACCAAAUGUGAGUCACAAGGAACCCAGAGUCUCAACACCACACAAUCAAUACUUUGAACCCCAAACUUCUUUCCAUCCUGUCUUCAACUAUGGGCCCCAAUUUCUAGGCCCAGAGAGAUUAUAUUGUGAUUCUGAAACUCUCCGAAUGAAUAAGUGUCAUUUCUUUGAAUGCAAGUACAAGAAUUUGACCUUGAAGGCAGAAGAAACCUGAAAGCCCUACGCCUUCAGUUGGGCUAGCAAAGUGACUCAGCCAGGGUCACAAAGCCGCUACACAAGAGUCAGGUCUCUAAGUCUCUGUCCCGAAUAUCACAAAGGGGCAAAAUAGCAUAAGGGACCGGUCGGUUGUGUACUGCCUGGACGUCUUUCGAGGUCACCCUCCGGCUGCCUAAUCCAAAGGCUUCAUCUCCCUCACUGAAAAUGCCUGAGGGCAAAGGCACUGCACUCCCUGAAACUGCUGUCACCACCCGGGGUCCUCAGACGUGGCCCUGUGGCUGGCCGAGGUCACCAGGGAAAGCCAUUAGCAGAUGGGUCGAAGUCGGUUUUGAAAGGGUGCUCUGUGACGCUGCGGCCAUACCAAGAGACCGAAGCCAGCGGUGGAGUCCGGCCUCUCAGGG